AAAUUUAGGAUACACUAAACCAAGGGCCUUCAAAGCCCUAAACAAGAGCCCAACCCUCUUAAUUUCU
rnacentral:tRNA from 1 species